ensembl:lncRNA
UUUGGAUGGCGUGGGAGUGGUUCUGUUCCUGCUGCACAGGUGGCAGCUGCUGGCCAUGAGCCUUUAGAGGUGAACAGACCACCAACUUCAGUCCUCUACCAUCACACCCAGCACCUCCAGCCCCUUCCUGGGCAAAGUCUUUGCAAUCACAGCACCCAUCACGGGAGCAGUUGGACAUUUCAGCAGUCAUCACAGCCAGCUUCUGCCCGUGUGUCCUCAUGCCAACUGUCUUCUGGCUUCAGCAGCUCUUCUCCCUUCCGUGUGUUUAGUUCCCAAUGUAUUUAUAGCUGAGAGCAAUGUUCCCUACCGGGUUCUGCUCUGCUGUCGGGGCUCCCUCCUCGUGGUCUCACUCUCAAACGCAGGCAGUCAGACCCCACAUUGUCCCCUCCAACCACAGCCUUAUCCCUGCCUUACACAUGGGUCAUGCUUCUCUUCUCUGCAUGCAGAGUCCCAUUCACAGCCAUAUGGCACUGCUGUCUCACGGUCCUGCCUUUGUCAGCCCAGCCCUUUUGAUGAGGGACUGGCAGAAAUGCAGGGGAAUGCUGGCAGUCCACGUGCAUGGCCUUACACCUCCUGCCAUUACACUGCAGUUUCAUACCACUUGUAGGGUACUCAAGUCCUGCAGUGCAAUAUCCUCGCUUCCUAUUUUGCAACCAAUCUCAUCUGAAUUUUCCUCUGGGGGACAAGGGCUGUUAGAAGUGCUCGGCAGGCUCGGUCUCACUGUAUGCCUCAGGCAGAUGAAGAGAAUUUCAUUUUAAUGAUCAAAUAAAAGCAGCUUUCUCUGCGGAGGCAAUGGUCCUCCGGUGCUGCAGUGGUCACAGGGGUGGUUCCCAUCUGCAGAUGUUCUGAAGCCUUCUUUUGAGAUGUGGGUCUGACACAGAGCUGCUGAAGCUUCUCAUCUUCCUGCCACGCUCUUCCUGCCUCCAUCUCUGCUGUUUUAGCCCAUGCGGAGUUUCUUCUGUGUAUUCCUGCAGCCUCCAUCCCUGGGUCCUUUUGCUCUGGGUGGGUGAGAGCAGUUGAUCCUGCAGACGAAGGGGAUGUGGUAAUCCACCCAGUCUGGUGAGAUCUCCUCUGCUUAAACCCUUGUGCUGCUAUUUACUUGCUUUCAAUUAGCUCUGCCAUCCGAAUCUGCUGUGAAGCCUCAUCCUCUACGAAGUCAGAUUAAUGGGCUUGUGUCUCGUAUUUAAAUACAGCCCCCACGUGUGCUGUACUCCAAACCAAUAAUACUUUGUCUUGAUGUAAUAAAAAUAAUUGCUGG